GGUUCAGAACGAACGCUGGCGGCAGGCUUAACACAUGCAAGUGAGCGGGAUGUUGAGUAGCUUGCUAUUAACAUGAGAGCAGCGCACUGGUGAGUAACACGUGGGAACAUACCUUUUGGUGGGGGACAACAGUUGGAAACGACUGCUAAUACCGCAUAAGCCCUAAGGGGGAAAGAUUUAUUGCCGAAAGAUUGGCCCGCGGAAGAUUAGGUAGUAGGUGGGUAACGGCCUACCUAGCCGACGAUCUAUAGCUGGUCUGAGAGGACGAUCAGCCACAUUGGAACUGAGACACGGUCCAGACUCCUACGGGAGGCAGCAGUGAGGAAUAUUGGGCAAUGGAGGGAACUCUGACCCAGCCAAUGCCGCGUGAGUGAAGAAGGUUUUCGGAUUGUAAAACUCUUUCAGAUGGGAAGAUGAUGACGGUACCAUCAGAAGAAGCACCGGCUAACUUCGUGCCAGCAGCCGC
rnacentral:rRNA from 1 species